UACGUAGGGUGCGAGCGUUGUCCGGAAUUAUUGGGCGUAAAGGGCUCGUAGGCGGCCAACUAAGUCCGACGUGAAAUCCCCGGGCUCAACCCGGGAACUGCGUCCGAUACUGGCAGGCUUGAAUCCGGGAGAGGGAUGUGGAAUUCCAGGUGUAGCGGUGAAAUGCGUAGAUAUCUGGAGGAACACCGGUGGCGAAGGCGGCAUCCUGGACCGGUAUUGACGCUGAUGCGCGAAAGCCAGGGGAGCAAACGGG
rnacentral:rRNA from 1 species